CCUACCAAAAGACAAAAAAAUACCAAAACAAACAAACAAACAAAAAACACAACCGGAAAAAACCCUCUCACACCUUCUGCACUGUAAAUCCUGCAGCUGGUUAGGGAAGGCUGCUUUUUGUAUCCGGGCAAGCUGUGCAAACAACCCGAGCUAUGCUGUCUAUCCCAGUCCCGGGAAUUAGCCUCACCUCCAUGAGGUGCGGAUUCCUGAAUAAAGAGCCAAUUGAAAGGCUGAAAUGCUUCUCUCUGUUCUGCUGUGAUUAUGUACUGCACUAGCUGCACAUCCCUGCCUGUGCCUACCCAUCUGUCCUUUAUUGCUGACAGGGUUUAUGAGUGCAAUAUGAUGGAGUAAGAAACAGUGGAUUUUUCCCAAGGAGCCAAGCACAGCUCUUUGUCCUCAGAGAAUGUGGGACGGGAGCAUGAAAUGUGUGGCUUUCCUGCCGCAUAUGCAUCUGCUGCUCCCAUCAGCCUUCAACAGGCCAGCUUCAUCCCCUUCACCUCGCUCAUCAGAUCAGAGACUUGCUGGAUAAAACAAAAAUCAGAAAGGAAAAUCCAACCAACAAACAAAGAAGAAAACAACAAUAAAAAGGAGAAGGAAAAACCCAAACCAAACCAAAAGAAGAAAGCAACAAAAAGGAAACCAAAACCAAACAAAAAAGGAGGAGGGGAGGGGAAAGGAAUAAACACCCCAAAGAAACAAAGCCAAGAAAAAAGAGGAAAAUAAAC